GAUGAACGCUAGCUACAGGCUUAACACAUGCAAGUCGAGGGGAAACGACAUCGAAAGCUUGCUUUUGAUGGGCGUCGACCGGCGCACGGGUGAGUAACGCGUAUCCAACCUGCCCAUCACUUGGGGAUAACCUUGCGAAAGUAAGACUAAUACCCAAUGAUAUCUCUAGAAGACAUCUGAAAGAGAUUAAAGAUUUAUCGGUGAUGGAUGGGGAUGCGUCUGAUUAGCUUGUUGGCGGGGUAACGGCCCACCAAGGCAACGAUCAGUAGGGGUUCUGAGAGGAAGGUCCCCCACAUUGGAACUGAGACACGGUCCAAACUCCUACGGGAGGCAGCAGUGAGGAAUAUUGGUCAAUGGGCGAGAGCCUGAACCAGCCAAGUAGCGUGCAGGAAGACGGCCCUAUGGGUGGUAAACUGCUUUUAUAAGGGAAUAAAGUGAGAGUCGUGACUCUUUUUGUAUGUACCUUAUGAAUAAGGACCGGCUAAUUCCGUG
rnacentral:rRNA from 1 species